rnacentral:sRNA from 1 species
AAGAUAAGAUGGCGGAGGCCUACAGUGAGAUUGGGAUGAAAGGCGAGCGCCGGAGGGGCAAGGGGCACGAUGGCCUUUACCAGGGUCUCAGUACAGCCACCAAGGACACCUACGACGCCCUUCACAUGCAGGCCCUGCCCCCUCGCUAACAGCCAGGGGAUUUCACCACUCAAAGGCCAGACCUGCAGACGCCCAGAUUAUGAGACACAGGAUGAAGCAUUUACAACCCGGUUCACUCUUCUCAGCCACUGAAGGGCCAGAAGAUGAACAGACUGACCUUGAUGAGCUGUGCACAAAGUGGCAUAAAAAACAGUGUGGUUACACAGUGUGACUAAAGUGCUGCGGAGCAAGAGGAGGCCGUUGAUUCACUUCACGCUUUCAGCGAAUGACAAAAUCAUCUUUGUGAAGGCCUCGCAGGAAGACCCAACACAUGGGACCUAUAACUGCCCAGCGGACAGUGGCAGGACAGGAAAAACCCGUCAAUGUACUAGGAUACUGCUGCGUCAUUACAGGGCACAGGCCAUGGAUGGAAAACGCUCUCUGCUCUGCUUUUUUUCUACUGUUUUAAUUUAUACUGGCAUGCUAAAGCCUUCCUAUUUUGCAUAAUAAAUGCUUCAGUGAAAAUGCA